rnacentral:rRNA from 1 species
CGCCAGACUCCUACGGGAGGCAGCAGUGAGGAAUAUUGGUCAAUGGGCGGGAGCCUGAACCAGCCAAGUCGCGUGAGGGAAGACGGUCCUACGGAUUGUAAACCUCUUUUGCCGGGGAGCAACGGGGUCCUUGCGAGGGCCCAAUGAGAGUACCCGGAGAAAAAGCAUCGGCUAACUCCGUGCCAGCAGCCGCGGUAAUACGGAGGAUGCGAGCGUUAUCCGGAUUUAUUGGGUUUAAAGGGAGCGUAGAUGGGUUGUUAAGUCAGUUGUGAAAGUUUGCGGCUCAACCGUAAAAUUGCAAUUGAUACUGGCAGUCUUGAGUACAGUUGAGGUAGGCGGAAUUCGUGGUGUAGCGGUGAAAUGCAUAGAUAUCGCGCAGAACUCCGAUUGCGAAGGCAGCAUGCCGGCUCCACACUGACGCUGAGGCACGAAAGCGUGGGUAUCGAACAGGAUUAGAUACCCCCGUA